UACAGAGGCCUCGAGCGUUAGGCGGAAUCACUGGGCUUAAAGCGUGUGUAGGCGGACUUCUAAGUACCUUGUGAAAUCCCACGGCUUACCCGUGUAACGGCUGGGUAUACUGGGAGUCUUGAGCCACCUAGGGGCGAGUGGAACAAAUGGUGGAGCGGUGAAAUGCGUAGAUAUCGUCUGGAACGCCGAAGGUGAAAACAGCUCGCUGGGGCUGCGCUGACGCUGAGACACGAAAGCCAGGGGAGCGAACGGG
rnacentral:rRNA from 1 species